rnacentral:rRNA from 1 species
GUUUCUUAAGUCUGAUGUGAAAGCCCCCGGCUCAACCGGGGAGGGUCAUUGGAAACUGGGAAACUUGAGUGCAGAAGAGGAGAGUGGAAUUCCACGUGUAGCGGUGAAAUGCUAAGAGAUGUGGAGGAACACCAGUGGCGAAGGCGACUCUCUGGUCUGUAACUGACGCUGAGGAGCGAAAGCGUGGGGAGCGAACAGGAUUAGAUACCCUGGUAGUCCACGCCGUAAACGAUGAGUGCUAAGUGUUAGGGGGUUUCCGCCCCUUAGUGCUGCAGCUAACGCAUUAAGCACUCCGCCUGGGGAGUACGGUCGCAAGACUGAAACUCAAAGGAAUUGACGGGGGCCCGCACAAGCGGUGGAGCAUGUGGUUUAAUUCGAAGCAACGCGAAGAACCUUACCAGGUCUUGACAUCCUCUGACAACCCUAGAGAUAGGGCUUUCCCUUCGGGGACAGAGUGACAGGUGGUGCAUGGUUGUCGUCAGCUCGUGUCGUGAGAUGUUGGGUUAAGUCCCGCAACGAGCGCAACCCUUGAUCUUAGUUGCCAGCAUUCAGUUGGGCACUCUAAGGUGACUGCCGGUGACAAACCGGAGGAAGGUGGGGAUGACGUCAAAUCAUCAUGCCCCUUAUGACCUGGGCUACACACGUGCUACAAUGGACAGAACAAAGGGCUGCAAGACCGCAAGGUUUAGCCAAUCCCAUAAAUCUGUUCUCAGUUCGGAUCGCAGUCUGCAACUCGACUGCGUGAAGCUGGAAUCGCUAGUAA